GAUUUUUUUUCUUUUCUUUUUUUCCUUUUUUUUUUCUUUUAAAAUUUUCCAUUUUAAUUUGGUUAUUUCUGAUUUAUAUUUAAAAGCAAAUAAUAAUGAUAUGGUAGGAGAUACACACCAAACAGGAUGUGUAAAUUAUUAUAUAAUAAGUAUUGUGCAAUAGCAAGAAAUUUUCAAUUGCACAGUAUUGCACAAUAGCAAGAAAUCUUCAAUUGCACAGUAUUGCGCAAUAGCAAGAAAUCUUCAAUUGCACAGUAUUGCGCAAUAGCAAGAAAUAUCCAAUAGCACAAUAUUGCGCAAUAGCAAGAAAUUGUCAAUUGUACAGUAUUGCGCAAUAGCAAGAAAUAUUCAAUUGCACAGUAUUGUGCAAAAGAAGAUACUUCAUAUAAAUUGCUUAUUUCUUGAUCAAUUUCAAUGGGGUUUUAUUCUUGAAUUCUUGGGUUGGGGUUCUUUGAUAUGCCGAAUCUAACCGUGUAUUUAGAUUCUUAAUUUUUGGUUCCGUUUUCAAAUUGGUCUGCAUUAAGGUCCAAAGGGUCCAAAAUUAAACUUUUUUGUUUGAUUUUAGCAAAAAUUGAAUAUAUGAGGUUCUUUGAUAUGCUGAAUCUAAACAUGUAUUUAGAUUUUUGAUUUUUGGCCCUGUUUUCAAGUUGGUCCAAAUUGGGGUCCAGUAUUUAAACUUUGUUUGAUUUCAACAAAAAUUGAAUAUAUGGGGUUCUUUAAUAUGCUGAAUCUAACCAUGUAUUUAGAUUUUUUUUGUGGACCCCGUUAUCAAAUUGGUUCUUAUUAAGGUCAAAGGGGUCCAAAAUUAAACUUAGUUUGAUUUUAACAAAAAUUGAAUUCUUGGGGUUCUUUGAUAUGCUGAAUCUAAACAUGUGUUUAGAUUUUUGAUUAUGGGCCCAGUUUUCAAGUUGGUCCAAGAUAGGGUCCAGUAUUUAAACUUUGUUUGAUUUCAACAAAAAUUGAAUAUAUGGGGUUCUUUGAUAUGCUGAAUCUAAACAUGUAUUUAGAUUUUUGAUUAUGGGUCCAGUUUUCAAGUUGGUCCAAA